rnacentral:rRNA from 1 species
CCCUUAGAUGUUCUGGGCCGCACGCGCGCUACACUGACGAAUUCAACGAGCUUAUAACCUUGGCCGAAAGGUCUAGGUAAUCUCCAAAAUUCGUCGUGAUGGGGAUAGAUUAUUGCAAUUAUUAAUCUUCAACGAGGAAUGCCUAGUAAGCGCAAGUCAUCAGCUUGCGUUGAUUACGUCCCUGCCCUUUGUACACACCGCCCGUCGCUCCUACCGAUUGAAUGGUCCGGUGAAGCGUUUGGACUAUGGUUUUCUGACGGUUCGCCAUUGGAUUACCGUGGGAAAUUCGUGAAACCUUAUCAUUUAGAGGAAGGAGAAGUCGUAACA